GACGAACGCUGGCGGCGUGCUUAACACAUGCAAGUCGAACGAAGUGGCGAACGGGUGAGUAAUACGUGGGUAACCUGCCCUCCUUUUUGGGAUAAGCCUUGGAAACGGGGUCUAAUACCGAAUAAAGGGGGAUGGGCUCGGGGCCUGUCCGCUUGUUGGUGGGGUGCUAGGCUACCAAGGCGGUGACGGGUAGCCGGCCUGAGUGGGUGACCGGCAACAUAGGGACGGAGAAACGGCCCAGGGUCGUAAGGGGGGCAGCAGUGGGGGAUAUUGGACAAUGGGCGAAAGCCUGAUGCAGCGACGCUGCGUGGGGGAUGAGGGCUUUAGGGUUGUAAACCUCUUUCGCUAUCGAAGGGGUAGGUGGAGAAGAAGCGCCGGCUAACUACGUGCCAGCAGCCGCGGUAAUAC
rnacentral:rRNA from 1 species